rnacentral:lncRNA from 1 species
GCUCAACUCAAACAGUCCUGUGACUCCUCACUAGGACUACCUUGGCCAAAGUUUUGCUAAAUUAAAACACGACUGUACACAGCUCCUGAACUGGAGUGGUCAAUCCCAUCUUGACACACACAUCGACAAGUCAAGUACUUGACUGCACCCAGCAGCCUUCCGUCACUGAAUUAAAAAUUCAGGUAGUCCAGUGCCUAAGUGCAGUGAGUUGCUUGCAAGUCACCAUGACGGUCUCA